GCGUGCGUGAAGAAGGCCCUAGGGUUGUAAAGCGCUUUCGGCGGGGAAGAUGAUGACGGUACCCGCAGAAGAAGCCCCGGCUAACUCCGUGCCAGCAGCCGCGGUAAUACGGAGGGGGCAAGCGUUGUUCGGAAUUACUGGGCGUAAAGGGCGCGUAGGCGGACAGUCAAGUCAGGGGUGAAAGGCCUGGGCUCAACCUGGGAAUUGCCUUUGAAACUGACGGUCUAGAGUCCGAGAGAGGAUAGCGGAAUUCCCAGUGUAGAGGUGAAAUUCGU
rnacentral:rRNA from 1 species